CAGUCGCCGCGGUAAUACGAGGGGGGCAAGCGUUGUUCGGAAUUAUUGGGCGUAAAGGGCGCGUAGGCGGUUUGACAAGUCUGAUGUGAAAUCUAUGGGCUCAACCCAUAGCCUGCAUUAGAAACUGUCGGGCUUGAGUAUGGGAGAGGUGAGUGGAAUUUCCGGUGUAGCGGUGAAAUGCGUAGAUAUCGGAAGGAACACCUGUGGCGAAAGCGGCUCACUGGACCAUAACUGACGCUGAGGCGCGAAAGCUAGGGGAGCAAACAGGAUUAGAGACCCCUGUAGUCCCUGUCUCUUAUAC
rnacentral:rRNA from 1 species